rnacentral:lncRNA from 1 species
GAAAAAAGAAUCAGCAGCUACAGGGUCUAAAGAGUAAAGAGUAUAACGUCUGUGGCGGAGGCCUCCAGGGUGCCUUAGAAACCAUCUGUAGUAAGUUGAACGCCAAACGGUGUAAGAACAAAACCGGCAUAGACAAAAAAAUCCACAUAAUUUAUUUACACAAAUGUGCUCAGCAAGCAUGCCAGCAGCCUUUGAAGUUCCAACUGUCACAAUUUACAUAACUGCAUUCCAAAAAAAAAAAACAAAGAGCAAUACAACUAAAGCAUAAAAUCAUGAUGCAAUUUCACUAUGAUACAGUAGAACCUGAUGCUCUAGAUUAAAGCAAUAUAGGUUUUUAAUUCAGUAGAUAUAUUGUUAUACCGGCAUCAGCUUCAGAAUUACUAAGCCUGAGACAUAUUACCAUUUUCAGAAUGAUCCGAGGCCAGCGCAGUCCUAAAUAUUAUGCUCCUUAUUUUCUUUUUAUAGCCUCUUAAUCGUCAGGUGUAAACAUUGCUUCAGCAUUGCUCCCAAUAUCAGGGCUCUGCUCCAAAUGACCGUUUUAAUUAUAAUGGAGAAAGCCUCUCAGAACAGCAAAAACAUCACCUUCUUGAAGAACCCCCCUGAAGAGCUGAUCCUUUGUAUCAAUAAAUCCAUCAGGCCCUAGGAUGAUAAUGUGGCACGCUGGAUCACAAGGUCAUCCAUAUAUAAGUCAAUUCUAGCCACAGAUAAGCCCUGAAGUAGCUAGACAGUGACCAUAAUAUUAUUACUGCUUAUUUUAAUACCAAAAAUUUUAUAUACUCAUGUCUCCCACUCUUAACUUUAUAUCUGAGAGGAAAAUGUCCUUCAGGCUAAUUGCAAGGGCGGAUCUACGAACGUGCACGGAUAUGUGGAUGUAAAUUUUCCUCCUAAAUAAGAAGGCAACCAGGAGCAUAAUAGUAUGUUUUCA